CUACUGUUCUGAUCAGCCUUUUUAUUAAUCCAUUUAAGGCCCUGUUCCAUUUUACACUGGAAUAUAAUUAGAUUUUUUUAAAUUAGCCAACUAACAAAUACAUUUAAUUUCCAAUAUCUGGCCAAAAGUAGUUUUGUUGCCACAAAAAAAAAUGGGUUGUCAUUAAGGCUAGUCUAGGGUGUAGAACCGGCCAAUUUAAAUGUAGAAUUGCUAUUUCAAUU